AUUGAACGCUGGCGGCAUGCUUUACACAUGCAAGUCGAACGGUAACAGGCCGCAAGGUGCUGACGAGUGGCGAACGGGUGAGUAAUGCAUCGGAACGUGCCCAGUCGUGGGGGAUAACGCAGCGAAAGCUGCGCUAAUACCGCAUACGAUCUAUGGAUGAAAGCAGGGGACCGAAAGGCCUCGCGCGAUUGGAGCGGCCGAUUUCAGAUUAGGUAGUUGGUGGGGUAAAGGCUCACCAAGCCAACGAUCUGUAGCGGGUCUGAGAGGACGACCAGCCACACUGGGACUGAGACGAGGCCCAGACUCCUACGGGAGGCAGCAGUGGGGAAGUUUGGACAAUGGGCGCAAGCCUGAUCCAGCAAUGCCGCGUGCAGGAAGAAGGCCUUCGGGUUGUAAACUGCUUUUGUACGGAACGAAAAGGCUCUGGUUAAUACCUGGGGCUCAUGACGGUACCGUAAGAAUAAGCACCGGCUAACUACGUGCCAGCCGCCGCAGUAAGAC
rnacentral:rRNA from 1 species